rnacentral:rRNA from 1 species
UACGUAGGGUGCAAGCGUUGUCCGGAAUUAUUGGGCGUAAAGAGCUCGUAGGCGGUCUGUCGCGUCGGCUGUGAAAACCCGAGGCUCAACCUCGGGCCUGCAGUCGAUACGGGCAAACUAGAGUACUGCAGGGGAGACUGGAAUUCCUGGUGUAGCGGUGAAAUGCGUAGAGAUCAGCAGGAACACCCGUGGCGAAGGCGGCCCCCCUGGGCCGUACCUGACGCUGAGGCGGCGAAGGCUAGGGGAGCGAACGGG